rnacentral:rRNA from 1 species
UACACUGAUGCAUUCAACGAGUUCCUUGCUUAGACGGCUGGGUAAGCUUUUGAACUUGAAUCGGGAUCGGGAUAGAUUAUUAUUAUUGUUAUUCUUGAACGAGGAAUUCCAAUUCCACGCAAAUCCUCAUCCUGCAUUGGUUACGUCCCUGCCCUUGCCCCUCACCCCAACCGCA